UAUACCUACGGGGCGCAGCAGUAGGGAAUUUUCGUCAAUGGGCGCAAGCCUGAACGAGCAAUGCCGCGUGAACGAGGAAGGUCUUCGGAUCGUAAAGUUCUGUUGAAGGGGAAAAAGAGCGGAGAGAGGAAAUGAACUCCGAUUGAUAUUACCCUUCGAGGAAGUCACGGCUAACUACGUGCCAGCAGCCGCGGUAAUACGUAGGUGGCGAGCGUUAUCCGGAAUGAUUGGGCGUAAAGGGUGCGUAGGCGGCCCGCUAAGUCUGGAGUGAAUGGUACCGGCUCAACCGGUAAAGGGUAUGGAAA
rnacentral:rRNA from 1 species